UUUCUCUUUCUCUUUCUCUUUCUCUUUCUCUUUCUCUUUCUCUUUCUCUUUCUCUUUCUCUUUCUCUUUCUCUUUCUCUCUCUUUCUCUCUUUCCCUUAUACACCUCAAAGUAGUUGCUACAAAUCUUGCUUGCAACAGGGCAGCAAAACCUUCCGAAGUGUCAGAGCCUUGGAAAGACAGGGUGGAAGAUGCUGCUGAAGACUUUGUUCUAGCUCUGAUCAUGGGUGGAAUAAUCAAGACCCUGCCUGGGGCACGCCUUCAUUCUUGGGGCAGCAGACAUCAAUUUUGUAUAUGCCGCAGAUUACACUGUCCCUUAGUCGCAUUGUCCUUACAGAGCCUAAUAUUGCUUGAGAUGGGAGAUCAUACAGUGAGUAGAUGCAUUCCUUUAGGAUAAUUAUUUAAAGUUGGCUUCUAGCAUUUUUUGUGCACAUAGCCUGGGGCCAAAGGACAUAGCCCCUCUUAGUGUUUGGGAGAUGCUAGAUAAAGAGAAGUUGAAAAAAACCCUGCUGUGUUGAUUGCUAUAAUUGCUGACACAUUCCUGUGGUAUACUUGAUCAUUAGAACAGCU